UGGAUUGAUGACGACUCCUGUUUGCGUCUGGGCCAUUUACGAUGAAUAUGUGUCUGGAACUCUUAGGUCCAA